rnacentral:lncRNA from 1 species
UCCUGCCCCAUAUGGGACAGGAAGUGGCAGGAGCCCCACACGCCUUGUUACCGUGUCCCAUAUGGGGCAGGAAGUGGCAGGAGCCCCACACGCCUUGUUACCGUACAAGCAUGUACGGAUUUGAAACCAACAAACAUACGAGAGAUAUUUGUAAGUGCUCCCCUUGUUUCGUAAAGUUCCUUCAACUUCCGCGAUUCUGAAUG